rnacentral:rRNA from 1 species
CCUACGGGAGGCUGCAGUGGGGAAUAUUGCACAAUGGGGGAAACCCUGAUGCAGCGACGCCGCGUGAGUGAAGAAGGCUUUAUGUAUGUAAAGCCUUUUCAGCAGGGAAGAAAAUCACGGUACCUGCCUCAGACUCCCCGGCUCACUACGUGCCAGCAGCCGCGGUAAUACGAAGGGGGCAAGCGUUAUCCGGAUUUACUGGGUGUAAAGGGGGCGUAGGCGGCCAGACAAGUCAGAUGUGAAAGCCCAGGGCUUAACCCUGGGACUGCUUUUGAAACUGUCGGGCUGGAGUGCAGGAGAGGUAAGUGGAAUUCCUAGUGUAGCGGUGAAAUGCGUAGAGAUUAGGAGGAACACUCGUGGCGAAGGCGACUUACUGGACCGUAACUGACGUUGAGGCGCGAAAGCGUGGGGAGCAAACAGGAUUAGAUACCCGUGUAGUC